rnacentral:rRNA from 1 species
GACGAACGCUGGCGGCGUGCUUAACACAUGCAAGUCGAACGCGCCUGUCCUCUGGGUUUCUGGGGGGUGGGUGAGUGGCGAACGGGUGAGUAGCACGUGAGUAACCUGCCCCCUUCUUCGGGAUAACGGUCUGAAAGGGCUGCUAAUACCGGGUAUUCACUGGUCUCCGCAUGGGGUCUGGUGGAAAGGUUUUUUUCUGGUGGGGGAUGGGCUCGCGGCCUAUCAGCUUGUUGGUGGGGUGAUGGCCCACCAAGGCUUUGACGGGUAGCCGGCCUGAGAGGGUGACCGGUCACAUUGGGACUGAGAUACGGCCCAGACUCCUACGGGAGGCAGCAGUGGGGAAUAUUGCGCAAUGGGCGCAAGCCUGAUGCAGCGACGCCGCGUGAGGGAUGGAGGCCUUCGGGUUGUGAACCUCUUUCGCCCGUGGUCAAGCCGCGACGUGGGUCGUGGUGAGGGUAGUGGGUAAAGAAGCGCCGGCUAACUACGUG